rnacentral:lncRNA from 1 species
GGGGGUUUAUGACAAAGUUGAGCGACCUCAUGUCACUCAAACCAGCUGUAUUAAGGAAGGUGCAAGCUUUUGGGAUUUCUGUUUGGAUUUAGUUUAGGUUCAAAAGAGCACGCACAGAUCCUGAGUGUUGUCAAGCACCCGUGACUGGGAAACGGAGGCGUCCGAUCCGUAUUGGAGUCAAUUCGCCACUUAAUUGAACACAGCCUCGAAGGGAAGGGCCAUAUUUGUGGGCCUGUCUAACAAUUAAGAGUGACCACAUGGAAUGGGGGAUGAAAGGGUUAAAGAAGAACAAAUAUUGAACACAGCUUUUCUAUGAACAAACUGCAGGCAGCUGCUGCUUUGCAAGGGGAACUUCUUGGCUGCCAUUUCUGGAUGUCAAGGCUGCAGAUACACUGGUCAGGACCCUGGGUAGAGAGAGAUGCGUCAGAAUGCGGCUCCUUUCAGAAAGGCUUCUCCGGAGGUCAGCACUCGGGCAAAAGGCUGUGUGUGAUGUGUUUGGGAACACAAAGGUGAACAAUUUAUGGGAUAUAUUAUUUUCAAGUCAUGAGUCUUAAGAGAAAGUUUUAUUCACAAAAGAUUAUACAAAAAGGAAAACCCUCUUGAA